rnacentral:rRNA from 1 species
CAAUGGGCGAAAGCCUGAUGCAGCGACGCCGCGUGAGUGAAGAAGGUCUUCGGAUCGUAAAACUCUGUCCUUGGGGAAGAUAAUGACGGUACCCAAGGAGGAAGCCCCGGCUAACUACGUGCCAGCAGCCGCGGUAAUACGUAGGGGGCGAGCGUUGUCCGGAUUUACUGGGCGUAAAGGGUGAGUAGGCGGUUAUUUAAGUCAGAUGUAAAAGGCUAUGGCUCAACUAUAGUAAGCAUUUGAAACUGGAUAACUUGAGUGCAGGAGAGGUAAGUGGAAUUCCUAGUGUAGCGGUGAAAUGCGUAGAUAUUAGGAGGAACACCAGUGGCGAAGGCGACUUACUGGACUGUAACUGACGCUGAGUCACGAAAGCGUGGGUAGCAAACAGGAUUAGAUACCCUGGUAGUCCACGCUGUAAACGAUGAGUGCUAGGUGUUGGCUAGCGAUAGUCAGUGCCGACGUAAACACAAUAAGCACUCCGCCUGGGGAGUACGG